AUCGCUUCUCGGCCUUUUGGCUAAGAUCAAGUGUAGUAUCUGUUCUUAUCAGUUUAAUGCUUAUGGAAAGUAAAAUUAAAAUAUAAACUGUAAAUGAAAUUUAAAUUUAA
ensembl:snRNA U2 U2 spliceosomal RNA